CCUCCCUGUGCCCUUCCACACCCUCCUGAGCGGCACUGGGGGGACACUGGAGGGGCAGGUACCCAGCUCUGCUCUCCUGACCAGGGCCAGGCCCCAGGGCACGGCUGGAGCUGUGCCAGGGACGGUCAGGCUGCAGAUCAGGGAAAGGUUCUCCCCUAGAGUGUGCUGGGCACUGCCCAGGCUCCCCAGGGAACGGGCACAGCCCUGAGGCUGCCAAGGGCAGGGUGGGAUUCUUGUGCAGGACCGGGGCUUGGACUGAUGGGUCCCUUCCCAUCCCCCUAUUCAGUGAUUCCAUGAUUCCCUCCUGGCUCCUGGCUCUGGCCCCACAACAUGUGGGGGUCACUGUGGGGUGCCCAGGGCUGGUUUGGGGCUGGGGACAGCUCCCAGCCCCAGCUGUCGAUGGGACCUGUGCUGUCAUGGCCAUCACUGAGCACCGGGAUUCCCUCCUGGCUCCUGCCCCACACGGUGUGGGGUCACUGUGGGGUGCCCAGGGCUGGUUUGGGGUGUUGGGGACAGCUCCCAGCCCCAGCCAUGAACGGGAGCGGUGCUAUCUCGGCCGUCAUCGAGCGGCCAGAGGCGCCGCAGGGCGCAGGCAGCCAGGCAGCAGGCCGAUAAUCCAUCUGCCUAAAGAGCAGUGAUUAACAUGAAAUGAAGACAAUGAGCAGCGAUCGGCGUGCCGGUGACAGAGGGGACAGCCAGGAGGUCACUGCAGCGCGGGGACCGCACCGUGCUGCCUCUCGAAUCCCUUGUGGAGGAUGUUUAUUCCCCCAGCCCCCGCAGCUCGUCCUUCAGCAGCUCAAUCCAGAUGAAAGCUAUCAGUUGGCCUUGGCAAUGAUAAAUGUAAUUUUCCUAGCCCUGCGUGCUGCAGGUUGCAUUAGCCAGGGGUGGUUCUGACCCUAAUGGCUCGCUCUGAUCAGCGUUCUCUGCUGCCCUGGGGCACACUCCGGCCAGUGAUGCAAUAAAAGUGAUUUAAUGAAACCUCCUCCCUCGUGUUAGAAAUGAGACGCUUGACACGGCCAAUAUAUCAAGCAGCAAUUCAAUUUAAUAAUUAAUUAAUUAUCAUAGUAAAGUGUGAGCAAAGACAGCGCACUGGGUACAGUGGAAAGAUUUUCCCUUCCGACUGCAUACCCAUUGCUGGACUUGCUGGUAUUUUAUUUGCUAUAUUCAGACAUAUUCAUAAGCUUUUCUCACCAGUUUCUAUUUCCAAUAUUUAACGUCAUUAUUCAAUAGCUAUUGUGGUCUAUUUUAAAUUUCAAUAUUCCAGGAUGUACAUCCAGGAUAUGUAUCCCAGGUGGUGGGGUUCAGCUUCCAGAUGUGGGGUCCAGCUUCCAUUUUCCAGGUCUAUCAGUCUCUGAUAGUGAUGUUCAGUUUUCCUUUUUCAGGAACCAUAAAUCAGCGAGCUGAAAUAUUUUCUUCCGUAUCCAGGAUUUUUUUUUUUUUUUACCAGUCUGUGAGAAAGCCUUUUUACAUUCUAAAACUACAGUUUAAAAUUCUUUAAUACAAAACAAGCUUCUAAAGUUAUAAUUCAAAGACACUUAUUACCGAAUAGCUUGAGAUUUAUAAUAGAUAAUUGCAAGCAAAAUUUGUUCAAAAAAACAAGUUCCAUGCUUUCCUUCGUUGUUUAUUAGAACUCAUUUUUGUAACUGUCCCAUGGCUGUGUUCUACAAUUACAAUUACACAGAUUCUUUUUAUUUCCCUGACACGAAACACAACUUUGUAUUUCACAAGUGCAAACCAUCCCAAUAUUUAGGUGUCAUGCACAACCCAAGUCCAAAAACCUUCUCCCGCUGGCUGGGGGGUUACCAAAACCCCAGAGCAAUCUCGACCAGCCCAAAGUGUAAUAAAUGCUGUGGGAUAAUUCGCGCUAUAAAAUUAUAAAACGGGAUUGUUCGUGUUAUAAGGUUGUAAGUACAUAAAAAUAAGUGUAACCGAGCAAGCCCGGGCUUGUUGCAGUGAAACCAGUAAGCAAUUGUAGCAAUUACAUUUUAGGUCCAAAAAAAAGCUGCUGCCAGGAGACUCAGGAUGAGGCUGGGGAAGUGAGAAGCACCAACAUUACCCACAAGAAUGGGGGGUGGACUGAGUUAUCAAGAAAAGAUAUUAGUCUGGGCAGCAACGGCAAUAUCGGAGCAGACACUGUUAUACAGGACCUGGGAUAAUGCGUGUGUUAAGAAUAUAUAUUUGUGUAGUAUAUAUGUAUAAAAUAAAUAUAACCAGCGAGCUGGCGUUUGCAACAGGAAAACCGGGCAAACUCCGGCUUGUAAAAGUUGCUUUUCUCAGGGGAACAAAAACUGUGGCCGGGUGGAGUUGAUGGGGAGAAGUAUGGCCAUUAACCAGAAGAAAGGAAGAAGGAGCAACCCUUUCUGGGCAAGAAGGACUGUUAAGUGCCCAGAGAUAUCGAUCUCGGCAGCAGUAUCUGGGGAGACACACCUCUAUUCAUCAAUUCGACCUCUCCCUGGAAGAUCUAUUCUGCUGCUGGGAGGACCCACCGAAAACCCAAAGUUAUUAUUCAUCUUUCUCGGAAGUGCCUGUUCAGAAGACGGGGCGGGAGAAUAAGACAAAGAACUUUGGGUGCUGCGGGCAAAAUAAAGUGAAUUUAAGGUGGAGCCCGGGACGAGUUCCGCUUUUGUGAACAAGGGAGGGACUCAGUGCGCUAGAGGCUGUGUCCAUAAAUUUCACCCAGUGCCAGUUCCCGGGCCAUCGACACUGUACUUUCGGUUGCUGGUUUGCCCAAAAUUUUUGAUUUUUGCACAAACGUGGGGCCAGUUUUUGGGGGGAUCUGCAGCCCCCCUUUUUGGCUCGAGAGGCGCCCUGCUGUUUCAGCGGCUCGGCGGAACAGGGAGAGUUUGCAGAGCCAAAACUGGCCAUCAAACCAAUCAAAAUUAAAAUAGAAAGGGUCAGGUAAACGCUAGCUAGCUUGGGAGGGGCUCUCAAGAACUCAGCGGGGACCCAGGGAAGGGCUCCCCAGAACCGUGGAAAUUUUUUCACUUCUAAAAAUCUCCCUGCACGAAGAAUCCACGCAGGAAAAGAAGGCCACACAGCAGUGAGAACUGCGGAGAAGGGGUGGACACUCGCCUGGAGAGUGAAGAGGAUCAAACCCCAGGGAAGGGAGCCCGAGUGGAAAAUCACCUCCUCUCCAGGAGACCUGAAAGUCAAAUCACAUCGGAGCUGCAGAUGGCCCAGAGAGGAACAAUCACCUGCCCUGAAUGUCCUUGUAACCAUUUUGUACAUUUCAAAUGCGAGUAUUGUAAUGAGAUUUGGGCUGUGAAUUGUAAGUGGGGAUGGAUGCCUUCGGGGCUGUGUAUGAAGUGCUCUGAAGAGGAACAGGACUGGACCAUCAGGUUUUUAAGGGGCACAGUCCAAUUAGGGGCACUAGACCCAGUCUCGGCUGAUUGGCAUUCUUUAUAUUUGAACGGGAUAAGGGAAAAAUUAAAUUCAAAGGCUCAAGGGUUAGCAACUGAGUGUCGGAAAGCCAACAAGGUACCCUGCAUAGCUGACCCUGUGAAGCUGUCGAGGUGGGGCACAUUUUAAGGACGACAUGCUGCUAGAACCAGGCAGAGGCUCCGAGUGGAAAAUCCUUGCUGCCGAGAAGAGGGACAGCCCUGCCACUGGCUGUAACCCAACGGGCAAGGCUCAGGCAGAAAACCCUGAAAUAACCUUGUGGAAAACCCUGAAAUAACCUUGUGGAAAACCCUUCUAGUCAUGAGCGUGAUCGUGGGUCCAAAAAUGGGCCAGAUAACCACACACAGCUUCACCAGGAGAGGAGAACAGGGUACUACAGCUUCAACAACACUCAGUGCUGGGAGCUUCCAAAAGCGAUAGAAAAGAGAUGGUUAAAGAAAAAAAAAAUGCCCCUGAAAAACCUUUGGUCAGGCCUGGCUCCAAACCAGAAGGAUGAAAUGUUUAAAAGGGAAUUUCCAGUACAAACGGGGAGGUAUGAUGUCCAGGAUAACCCACAGGAGGAGCUUUUAGCAAUAGAAAUAAUGGGAAAUGUAACCUUAAAUAUCUUAACAUUAAUAACUGCUAACCAAUCUGGAAUUAAGGAUAUCAGAUAUCAACAGCAGGCCACAGUAAAGGAUAGAAUUGAAAGAGGAAGGGUAAUCUCUAAUAAGAUAGAGAGGAUCGUAAGUAAA